GACGAACGCUGGCGGCGUGCUUAACACAUGCAAGUCGAACGGAAAGGCCCUGCUUUUGUGGGGUGCUCGAGUGGCGAACGGGUGAGUAACACGUGAGUAACCUGCCCUUGACCUUGGGAUAACUUCAGGAAACUGGGGCUAAUACCGGAUAGGAGCUCCUGCUGCAUGGUGGGGGUUGGAAAGUUUCGGCGGUUGGGGAUGGACUCGCGGCUUAUCAGCUUGUUGGUGGGGUAGUGGCUUACCAAGGCUUUGACGGGUAGCCGGCCUGAGAGGGUGACCGGCCACAUUGGGACUGAGAUACGGCCCAGACUCCUACGGGAGGCAGCAGUGGGGAAUAUUGCACAAUGGGCGGAAGCCUGAUGCAGCAACGCCGCGUGUGGGAUGACGGCCUUCGGGUUGUAAACCGCUUUCGCCUGUGACGAAGCGUGAGUGACGGUAAUGGGUAAAGAAGCACCGGCUAACUACGUG
rnacentral:rRNA from 1 species